GACGAACGCUGGCGGCGUGCUUAACACAUGCAAGUCGAACGGAAACGCCCUGCUUUUGUGGGGUGCUCGAGUGGCGAACGGGUGAGUAACACGUGAGUAACCUGCCCUUGACUUUGGGAUAACUUCAGGAAACUGGGGCUAAUACCGGAUAGGAGCUCCUGCUGCAUGGUGGGGGUUGGAAAGUUUCGGCGGUUGGGGAUGGACUCGCGGCUUAUCAGCUUGUUGGUUGGGUAGUGGCUUACCAAGGCUUUGACGGGUGGCCGGCCUGGGAGGGUGACCGGCCACAUUGGGACUGAGAUACGGCCCAGACUCCUACGGGAGGCAGCAGUGGGGAAUAUUGCACAAUGGGCGGAAGCCUGAUGCAGCAACGCCGCGUGCGGGAUGACGGCCUUCGGGUUGUAAACCGCUUUCGCCUGUGACGAAGCGUGAGUGACGGUAAUGGGUAAAGAAGCACCGGCUAACUACGUG
rnacentral:rRNA from 1 species